GACUCACAAGAGCAUCGGUGGAGAUUUCUCUAAAAAAUGCUGGAGAACAGCAGUUGGGGUUUUGUUGGGGCUGUCUUUGUUUAUUUGCAGAUUGGAGUGGAGCAGAAGAAGGAGAACAGUGGAGAUAUACUUGAAGACCUGGAGCUCAUGAAGCAGGUUGGCAUGGAGCAUGUGAAGGAACAGGGAAACACACUGUAAUGACAAGUGCAUCAUAAUAAAUUAGGUACAGCCUUAAACUUUAAGUUGAGUCAACUGAACUUUAUAAAACAUUUUAAACUUAUACAAUUACAUUUUUACAGAGUAAGUGUCACAGAAGGGACGACAUUCAGUUCAGUAAUAUAACAGGACGUCAGGCUUGGAGACUGGAGACCAAUAGGCAACUGGAUACCACAGACAGCAAACAGGAUGAAGACUAGACGAGGAACCAGGAGACACCUCACUAGGAGAGACACUGGAACUCACAGGAGAUGUGCUUGUGGUGCUUCAGUGAGUGGAAAACCUGGUCUUAAUGGGGCAGUAAGUGGUUGUCAGAUAUUUCCUUCAGAUAGAC